AUACGUAGGGGGCGAGCGUUGUCCGGAAUUACUGGGCGUAAAGCGUGCGUAGGUGGUCUGUUAAGUCAGGUGUGAAAGCCCUGGGCUCAACCUAGGAACUGCAUUUGAUACUGGCAGACUAGAGUGUGGUAGAGGGUAGUGGAAUUCCCGGUGUAGCGGUGAAAUGCGUAGAUAUCGGGAGGAACAUCAGUGGCGAAGGCGGCUACCUGGACCAACACUGACACUGAGGUACGAAAGCGUGGGGAGCAAACAGGAGUAGAAACCCCGGUAGUCC
rnacentral:rRNA from 1 species